ACUUCUUCCCGGAGCCGCCCUUCUGGGCCUGAUGGAGCCCGUUUGGGCACAGGGGGAUGGGGCGAGGGCGCUCGGGGUCCGGGCGGCGCCAUUGUCUUCCCACACCCUCCCCUUCCGGCGCAGCAGGGCGGCUGGGGCUGGCCAGGGGCACCCGGCGAGGAAGGGUCGUUGACCAGAUCCGAACCCAGGACCUCCCGUCUCCCCUGAGCCGCCCGGCCGCCCCGUCCACCCCAAGCCAGGAGCUCAGACUUGAAAACAAGAUUUUGGUCGCCCUGGCGAGCCCCAAUACUGCUGCCGAGAUGAGGGCGCCCAGACGGCCUUAGGCAUGACGGCGGAAGUCAGGUGGAGACCGUGGGAUCCUCUCUGGGGUCUCCCCUCUCCUCCUCCCCUGUGGCUGCCUCUGGAGACGCCGUGGAACUGCCGAUGGCUGCGGCCUCCCCAUCGACCAAAGGGGGAGAGAGGUGGCUCAGUGGCUGGAGCAUCAGACCUGGGCGCGGGGAGUCCUGGGUUCAAAUUUAGCCUUAGACACUUCCUAGCGGGGAGGCCCUGGGCCAGUCACCGAACCUCUAACGACCUGACAAAAGGACUGGCCGGGAUGGGCCCGCGAGGCCACAGAAAGCUGGCCGGGCCCAACAACCCUCUUCAGCUCAGUCCCGCACCCGGGUGCCACAGGAGAAAGGAGAGACGUGACCGGGGAUGGCCCGACAGGAGCGGCGAGGCUGAGCGUGCGGAGGAGAGGCGGCACCAACGGCAUCCUGAGAGCACUGAACAUCGAGGUCACAAGCUAGCUGGCCUGGGAGGGAGCCAGAGAGCACAGAGUCGGGGGGACACCAGGAGAGAGCCAGAGCCGGGGGGGACACCGGGAACCAGAAAGCACAGAGUUGGGGGGACACUGGGAGCCUGGGAGGGAGCCAGAGAGCACAGAGUCGGGGGGACACUGGGAGCCUGGGAGAGAGCCAGAGAGCACAGAGUCGGGAAAACGCCAGGAGCCUGGGAGGGAGCCAGAGAGCACAGAGCCAG
ensembl:lncRNA